rfam:Pygoscelis adeliae contig53082, whole genome shotgun sequence.
GCAGUUAUGGUGAUGGACUGGAAAUCCGUUGGGUGUUGCUUGUGCAGGUAUAAAUCCUGCUGGCUGUG